GAUGAACGCUGGCGGCGUGCCUAAUACAUGCAAGUCGAGCGAACGGACGAGAAGCUUGCUUUUCUGAUGUUAGCGGCGGACGGGUGAGUAACACGUGGAUAACCUACCUAUAAGACUGGGAUAACUUCGGGAAACCGGAGCUAAUACCGGAUAAUAUUUUGAACCGCAUGGUUCAAAAGUGAAAGACGGUCUUGCUGUCACCUAUAGAUGGAUCCGCGCUGCAUUAGCUAGUUGGUAAGGUAACGGCUUACCAAGGCAACGAUGCAUAGCCGACCUGAGAGGGUGAUCGGCCACACUGGAACUGAGACACGGUCCAGACUCCUACGGGAGGCAGCAGUAGGGAAUCUUCCGCAAUGGGCGAAAGCCUGACGGAGCAACGCCGCGUGAGUGAUGAAGGUCUUCGGAUCGUAAAACUCUGUUAUUAGGGAAUAACAUAUGUGUAAGUAACUGUGCACAUCUUGACGGUACCUAAUCAGAAAGCCACGGCUAACUACGUG
rnacentral:rRNA from 1 species